GAUGAACGCUGGCGGCGUGCCUAAUACAUGCAAGUCGAGCGAACGGACGAGCAGCUUGCUUCUCUGAUGUUAGCGGCGGACGGGUGAGUAACACGUGGAUAACCUACCUAUAAGACUGGGAUAACUUCGGGAAACCGUAGCUAAUACCGGAUAAUAUUUUGAACCGCAUGGUUCAAAAGUGAAAGACGGUCUUGCUGUCACUUAUAGAUGGAUCCGCGCUGCAUUAGCUAGUUGGUAAGGUAACGGCUUACCAAGGCAACGAUGCAUAGCCGACCUGAGAGGGUGAUCGGCCACACUGGAACUGAGACACGGUCCAGACUCCUACGGGAGGCAGCAGUAGGGAAUCUUCCGCAAUGGGCGAGAGCCUGACGGAGCAACGCCGCGUGAGUGAUGAAGGUCUUCGGAUCGUAAAACUCUGUUAUUAGGGAAGAACAUAUGUGUAAGUAACUGUGCACAUCUUGACGGUACCUAAUCAGAAAGCCACGGCUAACUACGUG
rnacentral:rRNA from 1 species